UUCAUAUUCAUUAUACUUUAUGGUUUUCUCUGUCAGGUUUGCAAUUUCAUCGCAUAUAUUUAAUUCAUCAUUCCAAAAGUUCAAUCUCAAUUCAAACAUUUCAAAAAAUUUUCCCCUAGUAUCAAUUUGAGUUAUUAACAAUUUUAGG